CUAGAGUCUGGCGUAACGAGAGUAUCGCUUAUUUCAACAGUAGUUGGAGUAUGCGUACGAGCGUAGCUACGCAACACGAAAAAUUAAUUGUGAAUACUAAAUAUAGUAAACCUACUGUAAAUAGAAAAUCCAUUUCUUACAUUGUGUAUAUUUUUUUUUUGAAAUUGCUACAUAUUUUUGUUCUUUUUUUUUUAGAUAGGAUGCUGGAUAGGAAAGGGGUGGGAUUUUUCACGAUACGUGACCCUAUAGAAUAUUGAAAUCUCUAACGUGACGAAAUGAUGCAAAAAAAAAAAAAAAAAAAAAAAAAAAAAAAAGAUAAUUGAUUUCUAAAGUGUCAAUGAAAAGUAACCUGAAAAAGAUAACGAAAUAAAAUGUAAAGUGGCGCCACCUACAGAACCAGGUGAGACGUGGCGAGGAACAAGGCAAGCAUUUCCCGCCUGAGCUUAGCCACCUGAACAAGCCACUCACCUGAGGGUUCCUUACGCCUGAUUGUUCCUAAUUAUUGGGUUAACGAGUGUGACGUGAUUGGCACGGAGGCCGUCCGACUCGCCCGAGGGAAUCGCAUAUAGCAAACUUAUAAUCCUCGGGACGGAGAUGUAGAAGCAGGUGCACACGGAGAUGAGUACGGCGUCGACGUGAGUGACGACAGAACAACGGAACACACUCGUGAACUACUGCUACGCUCCGAUAUAUGUGCAAGUGCCAAAGCGUGAGCAAACGUAGUGUUUUGCAAUGUGGUGUUUGCGGUGAGUGUAGGACCUACAGAAAAUGGUGUAUGAAACUGACUGUUGACAAAUGAUUCAAUAUUCGAUGCGGAAUCUUAAUCUAAGGUCACGAUUUAGAGGUAUUUCAAGGGGGAGGUAUUAGGAAGCUGUAGAUAGGUUUUUUUCUUUUUUGUGUUGUACAUAUUUACUUAAUACAUUGUAAUAGUGAAAUGUUUUCUUCUGUAUUCAUCCCUAACCAUAGACCUGAAUCAAAGAGGUGAUC